GACGAACCGUGCGCACGGUGUUCGGAAUCACUGGGCUUAAAGGGCGCGUAGGCGGGCGUCCAAGUCAGGGGUGAAAUCUUUCGGCCUAACCGGAAAAGUGCCCCUGAUACUGGACAUCCCGAGGGAGGUAGGGGCGUGUGGAACUUCCGGUGGAGCGGUGAAAUGCGUAGAUAUCGGAAGGAACGCCGGUGGCGAAAGCGACGCGCUGGACCUCUUCUGACCCUGAGGCGCGAAAGCCAGGGGAGCAAACGGG
rnacentral:rRNA from 1 species